GCCGGGUGUGGUGAUGCACACCUGUAGUCCUAGCUACUCAGGAGGCUGGGGCGGGAGGAUUGCUUGAGCCCAGGAGGUCAAGGCUGCAGUGAGCUGUGAUCCUGCCACUGCAUUCCAUCCUGGGUGACAGGGCAAGAUCCUGUCUCAA
rfam:Nomascus leucogenys chromosome 5, whole genome shotgun sequence.